rnacentral:rRNA from 1 species
UAGAGGUUGAUCCUGGCUCAGAUUGAACGCUGGCGGCAGGCCUAACACAUGCAAGUCGAGCGGUAGCACAAGAGAGCUUGCUCUCUGGGUGACGAGCGGCGGACGGGUGAGUAAUGUCUGGGAAACUGCCUGAUGGCGGGGGAUAACUAGUGGAAACGGUAGCUAAUACCGCAUAACGUCGCAAGACCAAAGUGGGGGACCUUCGGGCCUCACGCCAUCAGAUGUGCCCAGGUGGGAUUAGCUGGUAGGUAGGGUAACGGCUCACCUAGGCGACGAUCCCUAGCUGGUCUGAGAGGAUGACCAGCCACACUGGAACUGAGACACGGUCCAGACUCCUACGGGAGGCAGCAGUGGGGAAUAUUGCACAAUGGGCGCAAGCCUGAUGCAGCCAUGCCGCGUGUGUGAAGAGGGCCUUCGGGUUGUAAAGCACUUUCAGCGAGGAGGAAGGGUAAUGUGUUAAUAAGACAUUGC